rnacentral:lncRNA from 1 species
CCCAGCUCCUGUACCCACAACAUGCUCAGCCAUUGGCUGGGAGCAGCAGCUUUGUGAGAUCACGAACUUGGUGUGAGUGAGUGUUGCAGUGGAUCCCAAAGGUGCGGCAGCUGGAGGCUUGUGCUCCUGGAGGGAAAUCUGAGCAGGGCUCUCUUCCACAGCUGCCAUACCUCCUUUACCUGGAACCUGGAGAUGCUCCUUGCAAUGAAUGAUCCAGAGCAGCUUAUAGUCAAAGGGAAGGCUGACUCUGGAACUCAAGCCUUCUCACUCAAAGGCCAGUAGUCUUUGUUUCUGGUGAGGGCCAGAUGAAUGAAGCAUAAAUAGUUUGUCCUGUUUUAUCAGUAGCUGUCACAAGGCAUCAUUUCUUUGGCAGCAGAUCUUAGCACAGUUUAUAUGUUUAAUAUUUAACAUAUAUCAGUAACCUAUGACUCAAGCUGAUCACAGACUCAAAUAUAAUGUACCUUGUGGAUGAGCAAGAAGUAAAAAUAGUGUAAGCAUUUCAUCUUGGCCGGGAAAUAGAUAUGAAUGUUCAUGGAAGAAUGAACAAAGGAAGAGGCUUGCAGGUUGGGUCAAUUAAUUCUCUCUCUGGAAUUUUGAACUGAGAUUCACAGAGAAGCUGUUGUGAAGGAGCCAUGGAUAGCUGGAGUCUGGGUGGGCAGAAUGCCGUGUGUGAAACUCAGUGAAGGACCCUUCACUGAGCCAGGGAUGUGAGCGGCCCCACACUAUGGGGAAUAGUGAAGGAACUGAAGCUGCCCUUCUAGAGAAACAAAGACUUCAAGAAGAUCUGCUGCUGCUGCCUUUCUUCAAAUGCUUGAUGGAUCAUCAUUUUGAAGACAGAUGAGUCUCUAGCGGAAAUAACCAGCCAGAAUAUUGCUUUAUUUGUUCCACCACUGAUACUUUAAUCUGGAAUGCUUAAGAGCCAACCUCUAGCUAUAAGGAAGCAAGUCUGCUCAGAAAGUGAUGAACUCUGUGACCUGGAGAUUAAUUUAAAAUACAGUUUAGUCAUUUAUUGAGCACCACUGUAUGCAAUUCACUGUUCUAGGCACUCUGGAUACAAAUGUGUGCAUGGUGGGCAUCCCUUAUCGGUAAAGACAGCCAAUCAAU